CCACUUUGACAAUAUUUACUUAAGUAUUUCCCCCCACCUCACUCACACACAUGCUCCCCCACACUGGUUCCCUUAAAUAGUUCCAGUAGAAUUUUUUUUUUCCCUUAAGAAAGGAAAGAGAAAGUCCAACCACUACGGCAAUACUUUUAAGCUCUACUAAAUGAUCGUAUCCUUUCUGGCUUCGAAACUUUUGUACCUAAAAAUCGAGAGAGGCGCUGCAUUUUUUCAGUUGAAACUGUCAAAACUUGGAGAAGGGGGACCUCGGAGGCAGGCAGGAGAGGAGGAGAAUCCUGAAAACUCGGUGGAGGUUGGGAAGAUGCUGUGCCUCGAGGAUUAGUUUAAACAGGGGGCUAUAAAAGAUGUAACAGAUGCAAACUGUAACACAAGGGCCAUUAACCCUUUCUCUGCCGGGCACACUCAGUCCCCACGCCCCACACCUAUUGUCUCCUGUGCUAGAAGCUUUGCAGAAAACCUGGAAAUUUUGGCCAGAAAUGGUGAGAAGAAAAAGCAUGAAGAAGCCGCGAAGUGUGGGGGAGAAAAAGGUGGAAGCGAAGAAACAGCUCCCGGAGCAAACUGUACAAAAACCUCGCCAAGAGUGUCGGGAGGCAGGACCGUUAUUCCUGCAGAGCAGGAGAGAGACGAGAGACCCUGAAACACGCGCCACCUAUCUUUGUGGGGAGGGAUAAUUGAAGCGCCCUGAGCGUGAGCAUCAUGUGAAAACGUGAUCGCCAAGUUUCUCUCUGGGAAAGGAUCUGGGAUAGAUUAUACCUUGAAGUCUCCGCAAACGCUUUAGUGGAAGAAAUGAAAUUCCACCUCCCUCCCUUCCUCCUCUCCCUCCCUUUCGCCUUCGCCUCCCUCCCCCCUCCCUCCCUUCUCCCCCCCUCCACCCCCCCCUCCCCGCCCGUCAAGCCUUUGGCAUCAUUAUCCUCAUCACUAAAUCCUACAGAGUACAGGGCGGAAAACGGUGCACACCAUUCACAGAACUGGAGAACUCCAAGGGGCGAAAGUUAAAGGGAAAGAUCCCGGGUCCUCAAUCCAGAUAGUCUCUUCUUAUACAGAUAUCUCUAAUGACCAGAUUUGAGAUGCACAUCAAAUUGUGUACCAGAGCCAGAAAAAAAAAUGCUGCAUGGGAGCUGCAUCUUAGGGCAUGUGUAUUAGGGUGUGUGCAUGAUGAAUUUCUGGACUGGAUCCCAAUAUUAAAAAGUAGUUUGGCAUUUUAAUAAAGGGUCUCUAAGUAAAUUAAAAUAGAACACUCGGUUGGCCGAUCUCUGAAUCUCUCUACACCUCGGGGAGACCUCACUACAAAGUAAGGGAGAGUGUGUAGGGAGGCAGGAGGAGAAACGAGAAAGGCCAUAGAGAAACUUAGCAGGGAAGGGAGAGCAUGAUAUUAAACGGCAUGGGGUCUAAGUUUUGGAGUAUAUAUUUUUUGAUAUUACAAUUAAAGUAAGAUUAAAAAGAAAAGACUCCACCUUUGCUCUGAAGGGAUUGGUUAUGCAAAUAUGGAAGGGAUUUCCUGGAGAAUACAGCUUUCUACUGUAUGGUUAAUUAAAUAAUCACUCAAAAGCUUCCAACGUGACGCUUCUGUCGUAAUCCAAUCAGGUUACAUAGGUCCUAAACAAGAAAGAUAUUUUCCACAUCUGGAAGUCAGCAAUUUAGCAAGUACUGCACAUUAUUAACCAAUUCAGAGCCCACUUCCCAGGGGAAUUUUUUUGAAGUUUAAGUGUUCUUAACCAAUGCUCUGCUGUUUUGUUAAUCAAAAAGCUGGUUUACACUGCACAUAAUUGGAACUAAUAUAGAAGUAAAUAAAGACAGCCAAAUUUGA
rnacentral:lncRNA from 1 species